rnacentral:rRNA from 1 species
AUUGAACGCUGGCGGAAUGCUUUACACAUGCAAGUCGAACGGCAGCACGGGGAGCUUGCUCCUGGUGGCGAGUGGCGAACGGGUGAGUAAUAUAUCGGAACGUAUCCAAUAAUGGGGGAUAACUAAGCGAAAGCUUGGCCUAAUACCGCAUACGCCCUGAGGGGGAAAGCUAGGGAUCUUCGGACCUGGCGUUGAUGGAG